rnacentral:rRNA from 1 species
GAUGAACGCUGGCGGCGUGCCUAAUACAUGCAAGUCGAGCGAAUGGAUUAAGAGCUUGCUCUUAUGAAGUUAGCGGCGGACGGGUGAGUAACACGUGGGUAACCUGCCCAUAAGACUGGGAUAACUCCGGGAAACCGGGGCUAAUACCGGAUAACAUUUUGAACCGCAUGGUUCGAAAUUGAAAGGCGGCUUCGGCUGUCACUUAUGGAUGGACCCGCGUCGCAUUAGCUAGUUGGUGAGGUAACGGCUAACCAAGGCAACGAUGCGUAGCCGACCUGGGAGGGGGAUCGGACACACUGGGACUGAGAAACGGCCCAGACUCCUACGGGAGGCAGCAGUAGGGAAUCUUCCGCAAUGGACGAAAGUCUGACGGAGCAACGCCGCGUGAGUGAUGAAGGCUUUCGGGUCGUAAAACUCUGUUGUUAGGGAAGAACAAGUGCUAGUUGAAUAAGCUGGCACCUUGACGGUACCUAACCAGAAAGCCACGGCUAACUACGUGCCAGCCGCCGCCGUAA